GUACGUUAAGACUCAGCCUCUGCUUCAGUUCUACAGGAGACUUAGACAUCGGGGGCCUCAAAAAGCUGAAUCCCCAACAAGCUGAGCUCCUCUAACUCCUGAUUAAAUGCACUUACCUCGAAAUCAGAGAAGCCACACAGGUAGAAACACAGCAUCUGAUUGUUCGACAUGUCAGGAAAAGACACGUGUCCAGUUAAUCCAGUACGCCGCUGCUACUUGUUGAUUGUAUUGCUUUCUGUCAAGCAUAUUGUUGUCAUCAUUAAGACAUUUUCAGUCGGAAUUACACAGUGUUGUACCUGACACAAUUUAUGUUUUGCUUCAUUUUUUUUUUUUUCCUUUUUUGAAAGAUAAUGCAUGAAUUAAUUGUACAACAGAACUUUUUAAAAAAAGUUUGUCGAGCAUUUCUCGCACAGUUGCAAGAAGUGAAGAGUGACAGUUAAAUCUGCCAGAACACUCCCUGAUCACAGCUCCCACCAAGAUGGGGUUCAAGGCCGAGGAUGACUGACAGGGUGUCUUGUCUCCCGCUCUACCUGAAGACAGGAAGACGCAUCACCUGGUCCCAACUCGGAGUUCAUUGAAUCAAGCAACAACACGCCGCCUCCUCUCUAGGAAUUUACAAAUGCCCUCUCCGGUGAAUUGUAUGUGAGCAUGUCGUACCUGAAGUCAGUCCUGGAUCUCCAGAGAACACCAGCGCUGGCUGAAAGGACACAGACCUUACUGAGGCAAUAAAGUCGAGAGCCCUCAGCUACAUGGAGGGUUAACACAGCAACACAGCCCCUCAGGAGAUGAUGCAAGACUGAAGACGGUCGCUGGCAUCAGAGAGUGAAGACUGAAGUGUAAUAAGUGGCAUUAAAGGUAACUUGUCAUGUUUUCAGGAUGUCACAUGCAAUUUAAGCUUUUGCAUUUUGAUUACUUGGACUUUUUCAAACAUUACAUACAAUGCCCAAUUGAUCCAAAUGUCGUUACAUACGCGUAAGUCAAUCUCAUCUCUGUGUUUCCAGGAGAUGAGGCCUUGUACAAGCACCACAGACUGCGUGCUUCACAGUGCAGCGGAGGAAGAAAAGCCAUCCAAUAUGAAGAGGCAGUACUGGUCAUCGGGCGGCUUCUUGAAGAGCAAGACUGUGUCGCCGUCGUCAUCCACUGUGCAGUUGGAGGAUGUCAUGCAAGUGGAGCUGAACAGUGACCUGAUUACUCCGACCUUCAGUGGAGAGGAAGAUGCCCUCGCCUGGUGGAAGGGACCAUCCAUCACGCCUCUGUCCUCACUCAGGUCAAGAGUUUAUAAGAUCGUGUGUGACCAAAGAUGACGACAUGCAAUAAAACCCCUCGAGGGUAUGCAAGCUCCCUUUCGUCUGUGCUGCCACCGUCACUUUGAACAUGAUCUGAUGACAUCAAGUCCGGUGGAGUGAGCUGAAUUUUUUUUUUUUUUGUAUGCAGACUGUGUGCCGUGGCCUUUGUUUGCAGCUGCAGUUACGGGUCUCAAGGACAAAACUGAUUCCUAGGUUGUGGAUGCCUUCGUGCAUCUUAUGAAUAUGUGAGCCGCCUGAACUGUCUCAUUUAUUAGUCCAGGCAAUCUUGAAAACACUGGGAGCAAAAUAUGACAGGGUGUCCGCCAGUGUAUUGCAAGCCUGGCUGCCAGCUGGUCUUAAGCACUAAAAAAUUCUGGAAAAUCUUUAUUUGAGACAUUUUUUUAAAUGCUGGUUAAUAACGUGAUGAAGGCAGAACAGAGAAAGUGGACCUCGACUGUGAGGAACUAGAAAACACGAACAACCUAUAGCACAUUAGAUAUAAUUUGUCUUAAAAAAGGCAAACAGUUGCUGCAUGUUUUUAUUUAAAGCCUAAAUAAUUACUAAUAAUCUACACUGUCAAUCAGACACUCAAUCGAGCAGCGGACCCCAUUAAUCACAAACUGGACUGACCAACACAUACUGCAGAACUUAAAGGGAUAUUCUGGUGUAAAUUUAAUCCAUAGUCUAAAUCACCGUGAAACUGUGUUAGACUCCCUCUCGAGAGAUCAAGUUAGCAGAGCACUAAUUUACGGAGUUUUAUCAACCUUGGAAACGAC
rnacentral:lncRNA from 1 species